AACAGCACCAAGCCACAAAUGGCAACAACCACGCAACCAAGUCAAAACAUGAUGCAUAAUCAAGUUCCAAACUCUCAGGUCCCACAACAGUAACACAACCAAGACAUCAAACGCGUUCACCAUCAAGCUCCAAAAGCUUCAUCGCGCAGCUUCAUCGUUUUUCAUCUCCACGGACGAACUCCACGCGACAACAAGGAGAAGAAUCAAGGCUCCGACAUCAAUUUCCUUUGAAAUCAACAUCAAAAUCCAACCAUAAUUCAUCACUUGUGCAUGCGCGAAAUUGAAAAGAACGAAAUCAAAAUCGAAGCGAUAACUCACCGAAUUGGAGCAUUGAUGCAAACAGGGCUAUGUCAAUUGGAGUUUAGCUUGUGAACUUGUUGCUUGCGUAUUGAAUGGUUUGCAGGUUGAAAUUGGAAGGCGGUUGGAUGCUUUUGGAACAUUGUUGAUCAAAUGUUAUGCUACUGAAUUUUACAUUGUGUGUUGAUUGAAAUGUAAUUUGUAGUUUUGGAUUUGUAGUGAAUUGUAGCUUGAAUGGAAAUGUUGUAAAUUGAAAUUGUCACAUGGAAUUUGGAUUGAAGGUUGUAAUGUGAUUUUGGAAGGGUGAAUGUAAUCUUUUUGUAAUUUUGGAAUUGAAACAUGGUUUGUGGUUGUAAUUUGAAUAUUGUAAUGAAAUGGAUGUUGUGAAGGUUAUUGAGUGAA